rnacentral:lncRNA from 1 species
AUCUCCUACUGACCUGCAGAUCCUAUAUCGAAUUACAGAUAUGAUAAGAGCUUUCGGUAUCCAAUACCCUGGCAGUAGUAUCACAAAUGGAAAAGUUACAAGGUGUUAUCAUAUAAUUAUCUUGCUUCUUCUUCGGCCUGUUCGGGUCCAGGGAGGUAAUGUAUAGAAGACAGUUCCUCUUCCAGUGCCCCUGCUUCUUGCAAAAGAAGCACUCCUCCUGGCUCUGGUCGGGCUUGCGCUUCUUGGUCUGACCCUGUGCAGACGUCCCAGCA